rnacentral:rRNA from 1 species
AUUGAACGCUGGCGGCAGGCCUAACACAUGCAAGUCGAACGGCUGCACGGUGAUUGCUUGCGGUUACAGGGGCCGACUGGCGGGUGGUGCCUGGGUAUAUGCCAGGCUGCGUGUGCGAACGUCCGGACGUAGGCGCUCAUACCGCAUUAGCCCAGAGGGCGUAAGUGGGGGAUCUUCGGAUCUCACGACCUUACGCGAGCCGAGGUCGGAUUAGCUAGUUGGCGGGGUAAAGGCCCACCAAGGCGACGAUCCGUAACUGGUCUGAGAGGAUGAUCAGCCACACUGGAACUGAGACACGGUCCAGACUCCUACGGGAGGCAGCAGUGGGGAAUAUUGGACAAUGGGCGAAAGCCUGAUCCAGCCAUACCGCGUGUGUGAAGAAGGCCUUCGGGUUGUAAAGCACUCUUGGUGGGAAAGAAGAGCAGCAGGUUAAUACCUCGCUGUUCUGACGGUACCAACAGAAUAAGCACCGGCUAACUUCGUG